CUCUCCCAUUGUUUGCCCGUGUUAGAGUUGAAAGUCGUGCAUCGCACUCUUACUUAGAGAGUUAGGCCAUCAACUCAAAGAGAGAGGAGAGAGUUGGGUUGGGUUUCUUCUUUCUUUCUCUUUCUUUCUAUUAAGUGGUGUGCCCCCGUGUGCGUGUGCGCGAGUUUAAGCGUCCACCACCACCACCAUCCAUGGCGUCGAGGGUGGUGCGCUAGUCCCCUCGCUCGUUUCGUCUAGCAAAAGGUGGCAAGCAAAGAUUUGGAGGCUUAUGGGGCCGCCGCUCUCGCCGAUUCCAGCGAUUGGGGAACUGGGCUGUGCUCGCCGCCGCGCCUCGCAAGGUUUAGCGCCGACCCAUUUGCUCGGCCGCCUCCAUUGGAUCCCAGGGAAUGCUCCAAAACGCUACACGGGUAAGUCUCUCUUCUUUCUUGCUGCCUGCGCUUGGGCUUUCUUUCUCUGCGUCUAUCUGGGGGAGAGGUUUUUUUUUUUCCUUCGUGUUCUUGGUUGGAGGAGAAAGAGGUUGAAACAAUGGCGCAAAGUUAUUCAUUUUUUGUUGUCGUGAUAUGCUCGAAUGAUCACGAUUUAUGAAAAUGUUUAAAGAGCUGCCGGAUUGAGCGACAAUCGUCUUGAGCAGCGAAGACGAAUUCCAGAAAUUCGCCUUGACGGGAAAGCAAAAAGGUUCUUUGGUUUUGUUUUGUUUUUUUUCUUUUUCUUUUUCUACCAGGAGCCGCCAGAAAGUGGCGCAGUCUUAUCGGCGGCUUCCAAAGGCCGCGGCGAGGGAGCGCAAAGACUGCGAUCGCGGAUGGAGAGCAUGUUCAUGAGCUUUGCCUGCUAAGGUCACAAAUUCUAAAGUGGAACAAGGAGACCACGGCCGCAGCAGCGUGAGAUCUUCGGCGCGGAGGUCUCGAAUCCGACCUACGAAUAUGGCCCAGGAAUGGUGCAGCGUACCAGCGGAUCACGAGGCAUUGAUUGAUUUGAAGAGUAGACUUUCAUCCCCAUCAUGAAUAUGUCUACCGUACUGUUGAGUAGCAAUCCUCUGGGAGGCAAAAUCUUCUAUGUACAUAGAAUCUCAAAAUCUUAUAUGUACAUAAUGUGUAUAAUUCUUGAAUAAUAGACAGACUUCGCCAA